ensembl:lncRNA
CUUUUUUUCCUUAAAAAAAUGUAAAAAUACCCUUUUUUCCCCCCAAAAAAACCAGAAAAAUUCCCUUUUUUCCCCAAAGAAAUUUGGAAUUAAUUUAUUUACUGGGAAUGUUGUGGGGGGAGGGGAAAAAAAAACUCUUUGGGAUAAUUCCAACUUUUCCAGGAAAAAAAAAUUCCCGGGAAAAGGGGGAGGGGUCGGGAAAUUUUUAUAUUUUAUCCUUGGAAUUUGAUUUCUUUUCAUUCCCGUUUUUUUUCCUGAUUGUUUUCCUUAAUUUUUCUCCAUUUUAUUUCAAAUUUUUCCCUUUUUUUUUAAAAUUUUUCCCGAAUUUUUCCUUCAUUUUUCCUCAUUUUUUUUCAAAUUUUUUCCCCAUUUUUUUCUUAAUAUUUCCCGAUUUUAUUUUAAAUUUUUCCUGAUUUAUUUUGAAUUUUUUUCCCAUUUUUCUUUCAAAUUUUUCCCAAAAUUUUUUCAUUUUUUUCCCCGAUUUUAUUUUAAUUUUUCCCGAUUUUAUUUUUGAUUUUUUCUUCAGUUUUUCCCAAUUUUUUUUCCAUUUUUCCCAAUUUUUUCUCAGUUUUUUUCUUAGUUUUUUUCAAUUUUUCCCCCAUUUUAUUUUCAAAUUUUUUCCAGAUUUUUUCCCAAUUUUUUUUCCAUUUUUCCCCAUUUUUUUUCAAUUUUUACCCUUUUUUCAGUUUUUCCCCAUUUUUUCUCAAAUUUUUUCCCAUUUCUUUUCCAUUUUUUCCCAAUUUUUUCUCAAAUUUUUUCCCAAUUUUUUUUCAAUUUCUCCUCAUUUUUACUCAAAUUUUUUUCAAUUUUUUCCCAAUUUUUUCUCAAAUUUUUCCCCAUUUUUUUCCCGAUUUUUUUCAAUUUUUUUCCCAAUUUUUUUCCAAAUUUUUCCCAUUUUUUUUCAAUUUUCUCCCAAUUUUUUUUCCAAUUUUUCCCAGUUUUUUCUCAAUUUUUUUUCCUUUUCUUGGGAAUUUUUUUUCCCGAUUUUUUCCCUUUUUUCCCCAUUUUUCCUUCUCCUCCUUUCCCGUUUUUCCCCCCCUUUCCUCGUAGCCCUUUUAGAAUUCGUGGUGGUUUUUUGUUGUUUUUUUUUUUUCCAGUUUUUUGGGUUUUCCUACAAAAAAAAAACAGAANAGAGUUGGAAUUAAAGAGGGAAAAUCCAUGGAGGAAACGACCGGAAAUGGGAAAAUUCCAGGAAAAACCUUGGAAAAAUUUGAGGAAAAACCUUGGAAAAAUUCCAGGAAAAACUUCGGAAAAACCUUGGGAAAAUUCCAGGAAAAACCUCAGAAAAAUUCCGGGAAAAACUCCAGAAAAAAUCUUGGAAAAAUUUUGGGAAAAAUUCCAGAAAAAACCUUGGAAAAAUUCUGGAAAAAAACUCGGAAAAAUUCCAGGAAAAACUUUGGAAAAAUUCAGGAAAAACCUUGGAAAAAUUCGGGGAAAAACUCCAGGAAAAACCUUGGAAAAAAUCCGGAAAAAACCUUGGAAAAAUUCUGGAAUAAAACUCGGAAAAAUUCCAGGAAAAACCUUGGGAAAAUUCCGGAAAAAAACUUGGAAAAACCUUGGAAAGAUUCUGGAAAAAAACUCAGAAAAAUUCCAAGAAAAACCUUUGGAAAAUGAGGAAUUUUGGGAACGAAGAAAAGAAAAAAAUUCCUGGAAAAAAUAAAAACGAGAAGAAAUAAAAAAUCCUGGAAAAAUUUUGGGGAAAAAAAA